CUGCUGCAGAACUUGCAAUGGAUUGAAUAGGUUGGUCCUCUCUUUCCUCAAGCAUGGAUAUAAAAAAGUUUUUUAGAGAAUAUGCUAAAAUUGGUACAAAGAUCUAACAGGAUAUAACAAAACAAUUGAUCACCAAUGAGCAAUACCCAGGUGACGUCUAGUUUCUUCUUGCUUAUACCAUAUAACCUGAAAAAUUUUAAUAUAAUAAACAAGAUAGUGAAAAAAUCCCAAGCAAAACUUGCAACAGAUUUUCUCAAAACAAGUUUAGCUGCUAUUAUGGAAAUUAUAGGUCAGUUUAUAGAAAAUGAUCCAAAUUUUGAUAAAAAUUCAAAGGCAAGAUGAAAUAUCAUGGAUGCAAUGUUUUGCUAU
rnacentral:lncRNA from 1 species